UCUCUAUGAUGAUCCAAAAUGAAAACGACAAGCAUAUGUCCGAGCUCACGCUACGACGAUAACUCAUUUAUCGACUGAUCGA